UACGGAGGGUGCAAGCGUUAAUCGGAAUUACUGGGCGUAAAGCGUGCGCAGGCGGUUUGUUAAGUCCGCUGUGAAAAUCCCCGAGCUCAACUUGGGAAUUGCAGUGGAUACUGGCAAGCUGGAGUAUGGUAGAGGAAGGUGGAAUUCCCGGUGUAGCAGUGAAAUGCGUAGAGAUCGGGAGGAACACCAGUGGCGAAGGCGAGUUCCUGGACAGUUACUGACGCUGAGGCACGAAGGCCAGGGGAGCAAACGGGG
rnacentral:rRNA from 1 species